GACGAACGCUGGCGGCGUGCCUAAUACAUGCAAGUCGAACGCAGUGGGGACGGGUGAGUAACACGUGGGUAACCUCCCAUCAGAGGGGAUAAACCUUGGAAACAGGUGCUAAACCGCUACUGAUGGAUGGACCAGCGGUGCAUUAGCUAGUUGGUGGGGUAAAGGCUCACCAAGGCCACGAUGCCUAGCCGAGCUGAGAGGGUGAUCGGCCACACUGGGACUGAGACACGGCCCAGACUCCUACGGGAGGCAGCAGUGGGGAAUCUUCGGCAAUGGACGAAAGGCUGACCGAGCAACGCCGCGUGAGUGAAGAAGGUUUUCGGAUCGUAAAACUCUGUUGUUAGAGAAGCGGUAUCCAACCAGAAAGCAACGGCUAACUACGUGCCAGCAGCCGCGGUAAUUC
rnacentral:rRNA from 1 species